rnacentral:rRNA from 1 species
GACGAACGCUGGCGGCGUGCUUAACACAUGCAAGUCGAACGAUGAACCCGGAGCUUGCUCCGGUGGAUUAGUGGCGAACGGGUGAGUAACACGUGAGUAACCUGCCCUUGACUCUGGGAUAACUGCGGGAAACUGUUGCUAAUACCGGAUACGACCCUCGGCGGCAUCGCCAGGGGGUGGAAAGAAUUUCGGUCAAGGAUGGACUCGCGGCCUAUCAGCUAGUUGGUGGGGUGAUGGCCUACCAAGGCGACGACGGGUAGCCGGCCUGAGAGGGGGACCGGCCACACUGGGACUGAGAUACGGCCCAGACUCCUACGGGAGGCAGCAGUGGGGAAUAUUGCACAAUGGGCGCAAGCCUGAUGCAGCGACGCCGCGUGAGGGAUGACGGCCUUCGGGUUGUAAACCUCUUUCAGCACCGACGAAGCGCAAGUGACGGUAGGUGCAGAAGAAGGACCGGCCAACUACGUGCCAGCAGCCGCCGUAA